rfam:Ruminococcus sp. 18P13 draft genome.
CCGGGGUUGAUACGUCCCCCGGUGUCGCACAGGAUUGCAUGAUGCCAGUCACCUGAUUUCAACCUGGAAUCAGGAAUGGCGGAGC